AUUGAGACUUGUAUGAACGGUUUAAUUAGCCGAACAAGUUUGUUUUUUUAAUAGUAUAUUAAACAUAAAGUAAGAAUUCUUUAAUAAAUUAGGGGACGAUAAGACCCUAAAAGCUUUAUAAUUAGUAGGGAGUUAGUGGUGUUAAAAAAAUUAAUUCACUGGGGCAGUGGUUUUGUGUAUAUUUAAAUAAAAGUAAAAGAUCCUUUAAAUAAAGAUUUUAUGUGUAAGUUACUUUAGGGAUAACAGUGCAAUAUAUUUGGGGAGACCGUAUCUAUAAAUAUGUUUGCAACCUCGAUGUUGAAUUAGAAUUUCUAUACGGGCAGAAUAUGUAUGAGAGAGUUUGUUCAACUUUUAAAUUUCUACAUGAUCUGAGUUCAAACCGG
rnacentral:rRNA from 1 species